rnacentral:rRNA from 1 species
GUUUGAUCCUGGCUCAGGACGAACGCUGGCGGCGUGCCUAAUACAUGCAAGUCGAACGAACUCUGGUAUUGAUUGGUGCUUGCAUCAUGAUUUACAUUUGAGUGAGUGGCGAACUGGUGAGUAACACGUGGGAAACCUGCCCAGAAGCGGGGGAUAACACCUGGAAACAGAUGCUAAUACCGCAUAACAACUUGGACCGCAUGGUCCGAGUUUGAAAGAUGGCUUCGGCUAUCACUUUUGGAUGGUCCCGCGGCGUAUUAGCUAGAUGGUGGGGUAACGGCUCACCAUGGCAAUGAUACGUAGCCGACCUGAGAGGGUAAUCGGCCACAUUGGGACUGAGACACGGCCCAAACUCCUACGGGAGGCAGCAGUAGGGAAUCUUCCACAAUGGACGAAAGUCUGAUGGAGCAACGCCGCGUGAGUGAAGAAGGGUUUCGGCUCGUAAAACUCUGUUGUUAAAGAAGAACAUAUCUGAGAGUAACUGUUCAGGUAUUGACGGUAUUUAACCAGAAAGCCACGGCUAACUACGUGCCAGCAGCCGCGGUAAUACGUAGGUGGCAAGCGUUGUCCGGAUUUAUUGGGCGUAAAGCGAGCGCAGGCGGUUUUUUAAGUCUGAUGUGAAAGCCUUCGGCUCAACCGAAGAAGUGCAUCGGAAACUGGGAAACUUGAGUGCAGAAGAGGACAGUGGAACUCCAUGUGUAGCGGUGAAAUGCGUAAAUAUAUGGAAGAACACCAGUGGCGAAGGCGGCUGUCUGGUCUGUAACUGACGCUGAGGCUCGAAAGUAUGGGUAGCAAACAGGAUUAGAUACCCCGGUAGUCCAUACCGUAAACGAUGAAUGCUAAGUGUUGGAGGGUUUCCGCCCUUCAGUGCUGCAGCUAACGCAUUAAGCAUUCCGCCUGGGGAGUACGGCCGCAAGGCUGAAACUCAAAGGAAUUGACGGGGGCCCGCACAAGCGGUGGAGCAUGUGGUUUAAUUCGAAGCUACGCGAAGAACCUUACCAGGUCUUGACAUACUAUGCAAAUCUAAGAGAUUAGACGUUCCCUUCGGGGACAUGGAUACAGGUGGUGCAUGGUUGUCGUCAGCUCGUGUCGUGAGAUGUUGGGUUAAGUCCCGCAACGAGCGCAACCCUUAUUAUCAGUUGCCAGCAUUAAGUUGGGCACUCUGGUGAGACUGCCGGUGACAAACCGGAGGAAGGUGGGGAUGACGUCAAAUCAUCAUGCCCCUUAUGACCUGGGCUACACACGUGCUACAAUGGAUGGUACAACGAGUUGCGAACUCGCGAGAGUAAGCUAAUCUCUUAAAGCCAUUCUCAGUUCGGAUUGUAGGCUGCAACUCGCCUACAUGAAGUCGGAAUCGCUAGUAAUCGCGGAUCAGCAUGCCGCGGUGAAUACGUUCCCGGGCCUUGUACACACCGCCCGUCACACCAUGAGAGUUUGUAACACCCAAAGUCGGUGGGGUAACCUUUUAGGAACCAGCCGCCUAAGGUGGGACAGAUGAUUAGGGUG